rnacentral:rRNA from 1 species
AGUGAACGCUGGCGGUAGGCCUAACACAUGCAAGUCGAACGGCAGCACAGUAAGAGCUUGCUCUUACGGGUGGCGAGUGGCGGACGGGUGAGGAGUACAUCGGAAUCUACUUUUUCGUGGGGGAUAACGUAGGGAAACUUACGCUAAUACCGCAUACGACCUACGGGUGAAAGCAGGGGAUCUUCGGACCUUGCGCGAUUGAAUGAGCCGAUGUCGGAUUAGCUAGUUGGCGGGGUAAAGGCCCACCAAGGCGACGAUCCGUAGCUGGUCUGAGAGGAUGAACAGCCACACUGGAACUGGAACACGGUCCAGACUCCUACGGGAGGCAGCAGUGGGGAAUAUUGGACAAUGGGCGCAAGCCUGAUCCAGCCAUACCGCGUGGGUGAAGAAGGCCUUCGGGUUGUAAAGCCCUUUUGUUGGGAAAGAAAAGCAGCAGGUUAAUACCCCGCUGUUCUGACGGUACCCAAAGAAUAAGCACCGGCUAACUUCGUG